GGUGGCUCAGUGGUAGAGUGCUUGCCUAGCAUGCAGGAAGCCCUGGGUUCGAUUCCUCAGUACCA
rnacentral:tRNA from 1 species